UAACCAAUAGAAAAUGGUGGCGAGCAAGUCACACAAGCUACAACUAGUAGGAGUAGCGCUACCAUAAUGCAAGCAAUAAGUGCUAUUUUCACUUUAAGGACAUACCAAACUCUAUAAGUGCCACUGAGGGUAAACAACGGAAGAGACAUUCGUGGAGUCAAAGAGCCGAUGAAAAUGAUUUAUACCAGAUGAUGAGACACAACCACUAACAAUGAGGAGAGAAAAUGCAUUGCAAAAACGUGUAAACACGGCACCCCAAAAAACAAAACUGAAGCCUUCACGGCCUAAAAGAUAAAACAAGUUAAGCUUAAAUAAAAGUAAAAAAACGAAAGAAAGAAAAAAGAAAAGUAAACGGCUCUGCACCGUUUCAAAGUAUGAAUUGGGGCCUGAAAUCAUGCACCGUAUUGUGGACAAUUGCUGAGCUGAGUAUUGGCAUUUUUGGGCACAACACAGCCCGUGCAUAAUUACUUUCUUAAUCUAACAAUGGCUUCUUUUUUUCUUUUUUUUUUUUUUUUUUUUUCUUUUUUGAGGUCCUUUCCUAUUGAAAGGGGCGAUAGCAUAUUAAACUCACACACACAACACGGAUGCUAGGACUCGAACCCAAGACCUUGUCUGAGGGAGUAAAUACUCCAAACCACUACACUAGUGGGUCCUUUGCAACAAUGGCUUCUUUAAAAAAUGUAACCGUUCACCCUUUUUUUUUUUUUAUGAUAUUUUUCUUUCUAUUUCAGUGAAGGUAAAUAACAAAAUAAUUAAGUUUGAAGGGCGGAUUACAACUUGCAGGGAGUGACAGAAUUUUUAUGACAAAAAUUGAACAUAUUCAAGUGGCACAAUCUAGCGAAUUACACUGUUAUAUAUCUGAACACAAAGGACAGUCCCAAUUAGGAAUUUUUUUAAAAGUAUAUAUAGCAUAAAUGAACUUAACCAAGUUGGUUAGACCGGAUGUGUUCCCCACUCUACAUUCGAGUUCGAAUCCCCCACUCCAUAGUUUAAUUUAGAUUAAAGUAGAAUAUCACUUAUAUAAAACUAGCCUCUCCACAAGAGCGGGCCUUUUAAAAAAAAAAAAUUAUUUUAGAAUUAAAAAAAAUAAUGGAUAGUUGUGUUCCAUAAAAAUGGGAUCUAUUAUCUGAUUUUUCUUAUAAUUAUAAUUUUUUUUAAUAUGAAAAAGUGUGAAUUUACCAUGUUAUCCUCAUUUAAUUAAUAAUUUUAAUUCUUAAUGUUUGGAUUAACCAAAGGCAUUUUCUG
rnacentral:lncRNA from 1 species